AGUGAACGCUGGCGGUAGGCCUAACACAUGCAAGUCGAACGGCAGCACAGUAAGAGCUUGCUCUUACGGGUGGCGAGUGGCGGACGAGUGAGGAAUACAUCGGAAUCUACUUUUUCGUGGGGGAUAACGUAGGGAAACUUACGCUAAUACCGCAUACGACCUACGGGUGAAAGCAGGGGAUCUUCGGACCUUGCGCGAUUGAAUGGGCCGAUGUCGGAUUAGCUAGUUGGCGGGGUAAAGGCCCACCAAGGCGACGAUCCGUAGCUGGUCUGAGAGGAUGAUCAGCCACACUGGAACUGAGACACGGUCCAGACUCCUACGGGAGGCAGCAGUGGGGAAUAUUGGACAAAGGGCGCAAGCCUGAUCCAGCCAUACCGCGUGGGUGAAGAAGGCCUUCGGGUUGUAAAGCCCUUUUGUUGGGAAAGAAAAGCAGCAGGUUAAUACCCCGCUGUUCUGACGGUACCCAAAGAAUAAGCACCGGCUAACUUCGUG
rnacentral:rRNA from 1 species